AAGACGCUUCUCACAACCAAAUUCCUCCUUAGUUUUAGUUCGACUAGGAAAUGUUCGCUAAUCAAACACUAGUUAACAAGUUGCCAAGGAACGUCCUUGGGGUUUUUUACUUUUCAACUGUUAACUGCAUUAAGACUUAGAGAAACCUAAUUCUAACCUUGCCAACCGCGUGAUCAAGUUUAGAUUAUGCAACCAAGUGUGCUUGUGUUCAAACAAUUUAAGCAAUUACGGACCUAAAUUAUUUAAACUAACAAUUUAUCACUUAUGCAAUUAAAAGCAACAGGUCUUAAUUGAUUCUAAUAGCAAAGCAAUAAUAGCAUGAAGAACAAGUUGCAUAAAUAUUGAAAAAUAGAAGCUUAACAAUGGAGUUUUAAAUCUCCCAAUUCAUCACAAAAUUGAAAUUUCCCAACUUCAACUAGAAAAGAAGAUGUUUAGCCACUCAUGGUGGACAAAAAUAUACACACACAAAAAAAAAGAAGAAAAGUAGAGGAAGAGAGCUGCUGUGUUGCUGCCGAAAUUCUGCAGUGAAUUCGAUUAUUUUUCUGCUGGUUGGUUGUUGUCCCUCUUUAUAGGUGAGUCCUAAUCCAAUUAGGAUUUGGAAUCCUAAUUUGACUUGGUCUUUUGUAGUCUUUUAUUCCUUCUUUGCCUUUAUAUUUAAUCAUGAAUAAAUCUUCUUUUGGAGAGAGUCUUCCUUUGGAGUGGCUCUUGGAGAUGUCAUAGGAUUGGUCUUGAGAUGUUUGAAAUAGGAUAUGACUCCAACACUUUUUAAAUUCUGAUUUUUCUUUUUCCCGCACUGCUGGACUCUGCUGCGUCAGUUUGAUUUGGGCAGUUGAUUUGCCCAAAUCAUUUAUGUAAGUCAGUUCCAGUUUUCUGCUUCAACUUUCUGCAAGUGAUUUGGCCAAAUCACCUUGGCCAAAUCGAUUUUUCAGCUUUUUCUACAAAUUUUCUCCAAGUUUUCAUUUUUCUCCUUUUCUGCAAAAACAUCAUAAAAACAUAAAUCAAACUAGAAAAAUGCAUAUUUAAACAGCAAUAAUGAUAAUAAAAAUAUGGCUAAAUUAUGUUUGAUCAGGACCUUAAAAAUCCAUUUCAAUAUUGAAUAGUCCUACAAGAUCGCACACAAUGAAAUUUAGACAAAGGGUACUUUAGUCUUUUUUUAUCGAGCCAUUAAUAAGUGUUUUAUUUAAAAUAUUAUCCAUGGGCUCAUGUAAAUUUCGGUACAUAUUCUUAGACCCACUCGAUGUCGUUUAAGUUCUUAUAUAAUUAGUUAAUUAAAAUGUUUAAUUAAUUAGUUAAAAAAAGAGAGAGUCAUAAUAGGAUUAGAACUUGUUUUAAGAAAGUUUAUUUUGAAUUAAAUGCCAAUAUCUAAUUGGAUUUGAAUUCAAAUUAAAUAAAAAAUUUCUCUCCAGGUUUUUCACUUCCUUUGCAGAAUUAGAGUGCUUAAAAUAGGGAGAAAUAAAACUCUAAUAGGACUCUGAAGAUGUGACUAUAUAUAAGUGAGAAAAAGGAGAAAAAAGGGCAAGCUUCUUCCACCUCCUCUCUUUGGCCGAACCUCUUAGAGAAAAAGAAGAGAUUUUUCUCCUAUUUGCUCUUAAGUUUUUAGAACUAAACACUUCAGAGAUUGAAUGAGAUCAGAUCUCCAAUCCUCUACCUAAAUCAAAUUCACAAAACCCGAAAGGAAGAAGCAAACAUUCAAGGUGUUAGCACACUUCCUUUGAUUGAAAAUUUCAGUAUGUAAAAUUGUAGAAGGGAGUCGCUAUUGGGUAAUCCCUUGGUCACGUUUUGCAGCUAGAGAGGAGAUUAAAAAAGUGAUUUUGAUUCGUUUCAUUUUGGUCUAGUCUUACAAAUAAUUCAGCAAAGAUAACUCUUGCACCUUUAAUGCCAUUAUUGCAUGCAUCGACUUUUAUUUAUUCUUAUGGCUUAAAAUUAUUUUGUUUUUCCGCUGCACCAAUCUGAUAUUAAGCUUAUAAGAUUCUCAACAAUGUGGUGUCUUGAAAUUUAUAAAUAGUUAAAAACCAUUACUAGCAAGGCCAAGUCUAACAUUUCGAGGGUCUAAGGCAAAUGAUUCAUAAAGCUCAUUAAGUGAUUUCUAGGCCAUUGAAUCGGCUGGAUGCCGCAUCAUCCCAUCACCAAAUCUUUUAUCAUGAUGCCAUCUCAUCAAAUAAAAUGUUUUGGUAGACAUAAGCAAUCUUUGAAGCCUAGGCUUUGAUGAAAAGUAACACAAUAUUUUUAUUGGUAUUUUCUUCUCAUUUUCCUUAUAUUUUACUUUCCCGUUAUGCUUUUCAUACUUCCAUCUAGAAGAACCACAAACCUUACAAAAAUUGACAUCUUUGUAUUCUUUCUAAAAUAACAUACAGUUAUUUAUGCAAGUACCAAUCUUUUCAUAAGAAAGGCCAAGAUCUUGAAUUAUCUUCUUCGCCUCAUAAUAUGAAUCGAGCAAAGUAGAUUCUUUAGGAAGUAGUUCUUCUUUAAGCAUCUUCGGUAACAUAUUAAAUGACUCAUUACUCUAUCGACCAAGACUUUUGGUAUGAAGUAAUUUUACCAAGACUUUUGGUAUGAAUUAAUUUUACCAAAUAACUUUGAGUUCGUAGAACCUUCGUACAAUGGCUAUUGUGAAUCCUUCACUAACCUAUAAAUUUUUUUUGCCUCAACAUUUGGUUCCUUUUGAAAAAUUUCAUUAAAAUCAUUAAAAUUGGGAUAAAAAUCUCUUCUCAUUUCUUCCAUCUUAUCCUCACUCUCAUCUCCUACUUCACCACCAUCACUACUUUCACAUUGGUCCUCACCUAACAUUUCCCUAUGGUGAUACCAAAAAGUAUAAUUUUUCAUUAUCCUAUAAAUUUUUAAAUGAGUCUCAACAACUUUACGAGUUCCUGAAUGUGUGUUCCCAUAUUUCACACAUGGACACUUAAUCUCAUAUUUCUCUCUUGCCCUAUUACAAGCAAAUACCAUAAAUUUCCUAACCCCUAAUUGAUAUGCAUUAUUAAGCCAAUCGACAACAAAGUCCAUCCAAUCUUUAUUAGAUGCCAUAUUCUAGUGGUUCGAUGAUUACGAUCUUGAAAGUACCUAUUAAUAAAUAAAAACCACAUAAUAUUUAAAUAGGGAAUGAUAAAUUCUUAAUACACAAUUCUCAAUAAACUGUAAGUGGAAAAAUUAAAAAUGGAAUAAUUGAAUUACAUGCCAAAUAAAAAUUUUAGUAAUGUAAGUGAAUUUAAGAGAAUACAGUGAGAAUAUAUAUUUCCAUAAAAAUCAUAGCAAUGGAAUAAUUGAAUUACAUGCCAAAUAAAAAUUUUAGUAAUGUAAGUGAAUUUAAGAAAAUACAGUGAGAAUAUAUAUUUUCAUAAAAAUCAUAGCAAUUAACGGUGAUAUACUGCUACACUAUAUUAAUGAAAUGGAUUAUUAAUGAUUAACCAUAAUCAUGUAUGGUACAUCAUGUUCUUACUACAUAUUCUACUCAACUCCACACACUUGACUUAAAUUAAAAGUAAAUAUAUAUCAUCCCAUGUUAUAUUUUGUGUCUUUUUUAAUCUCUUCUUAUUUCCCUUUUAGCUUUGAUAUUCUUUAUUAUUUUAUCUUUAUUUUAAUAUAUUUUUAAUUAGUCUAAGAGAAAUUGUACUUACAAUUUUAAUAUAGCAUAAGUAAAUUUAAUUGAAUUUAAACUGUUUCAAAUUCAGUAUUUUAAUUUUUUUAACUAGCCUAAUUUGUACAGGAGCUUGCUGCACAGUGCAACAAGUGAUCGUUGCUCAGUGCAGCAAGUGAUUGUUGCACAGUGCAGCAGAACUUGCUGUACAGUGCAUUCAUUAAUUUUAAUAAAUGAUAUUAUUGUGAUUUUAAUAUUAAAUUUUAAUUUAUCUUCAUUUUCAUUAAUUUUUGUUUUAUAUUAUAUUUUCUAUCAUAAAAAGUUUAAAUUUUCUUUCCUUUUUUCAGAUUAAAAAAGAAUUAAAAAUAAUACUAAAAUACUGAAAACUCGUUAGCCUUUAAAAUGUAAGAUACUAUAAACUCACUUAAUUUAAGAUGUAAGAAGUUAAGAUUUAGGAACUCACUUGAAGUUAAGAUUUAGGAACUCACUUGAGUUAGAAUGUUAGAAACUCAGUCAAAUUGAAUAGGAAACGAAAAAUAUAACUUAAAAAAAUUAAAAACUUAAAAAGAAAUCCACUUUAGGCAGUUUCCUAUUAGUGCAACCAUGCUUACCUUUCAGUACCAACAGCCUUAAUUCAGUCUUAAUAUGUUAUUGCCCAGUCUCCCUCAAAGUAUGAAGAACCGUAUUUCAACCACCUUGGCAGUUUCGUGGCUCUCUUCACUUGUUGCAGCGUCACCCACUCAAGUUGGAAGAAUUAUUGAACAAAUGCACUUUCUUGCAGAACCAAUCGAAAAAUCAAGUAGAAUCAGCUAAGAACAGAGCAAAAUCGGUGAAGAAUUG
rnacentral:lncRNA from 1 species